rnacentral:lncRNA from 1 species
GCAUCAUUUCGAGAGUUCAGAAAUGACGGGUGAGCGACGGUGGGUUCCAGUGUCGAAAUAGACACUUCCGGGAACCCGGAUCCCAACAAUUAUACACCAAUAGUUGUUUGGUUGUGUAUCCUUGUGUUUGCUGCCUUGUCACACUAAAAUAAGUGUUUAGUGGCAGCAAAUGACUCGUGGCAUGAGUCGGUGCCUUCCGGGACAGUUAGUAGGUCCCGGCGGAGUCCCGGUGCGAUUCUCGGGACUUCCGGCGAGUCACGGUAAUCGGUUUUGGGAAACCGAUCCCCGUGGGAUUGCUUGUGGGUUAUGCUCUUAGGGUUUCUUAGUUGUGGGUUAGACACUAACCCAGUGGACCCUCCUUAGGUCCGGUUAACGUUCUUCUGCAGUCAGGAGACAGGCGCGACAGUUGUACAGGUGGGUACUUCGAUCCGACGUUGGUACAGUGGUGCACGCUCGGUGAUGGUUUCUUACCCUUGUUCUUUUGUUAUUAUCCAUGCAUAUAUUAUAUGUUGAGCUUUGCACCUCUAUCGUUUACAUUACACCCACGUUGUUUGACUAUACUCUACUCAGACGUUUCCAUGCUUAGUAUUAUGUGUAGGAGUAUAAUCUAUCUGUAUGUGAUACCAUGUUUCUUUAUUGCUCUACUUAGCUAUUCUGCAAAUCCUGUAUCAUUUUUAGAGUAGAACAGUUUCGUGAUGUUAUGUGAAAUCGGUGACCUAGUUGAUUCGUUCUUGUAUCUUAUAUCUGUAAAUAGUCGGUUUGUUCCUUGACUCUUGUUGUUUGAUGACCUUUGAGGUCGGUGUACCCUGAGGGGUAGGAUUGUCGACUAGUGGCCGACGGUAGUUCUAGAUCAUAUACUCAUAUGACUUGUUGACCGAUUCUUGCAUAUAUACAGUAGUUGACUCAUUGAUCAGUAUUUACAUACUGUGGGUAGGAUGUUGAGUUGUUCCAUCCCAGUUGACUUGAUUAGUCAGUAUUUGCAUAUGUUUGAGAGGAUGUCGAUGUUGUCCCAUCCUAGUUGACCUGAGUGGUCGGUUCUUGUGCUUCUUUACAGUUGAUGACCUAUGCGGUCGAUAGGCCCUGGGGGGCAGGAUUGUCGGCUGGUUGCCGACGGUUGAUCAUUGACCAUAUUGCAUUGAUCGCCCGAUACUCGUUGCAUUUCACGAACACUGGCGGUCUGAUCCACCGCAAGGAGUGUUCUUUUCCGGAAAAGUGGUUGAAUGGUGACAACCCGUGAGCCCUAGAGGGGUUAUAUGCAUGUUAGAGCGGCAGUGGUACUGUCGGGAGGUGUUGCGGUGCGGACCUCCAGGGCAUUGGCUUGAGGUCUGCGGUGCUGACCAAGAGAGCAUUGGUUUCAGAUUGGGUACUUUUGGACUUCUUGACCGGUUGACGCAUAUGUCUAUAGCAGCAGUCAUUGCAUGCAUACUUAUAGUUCUUACUUUAUAGUUGUCUUGCUACUAUAGUAGAUAUUCAUGUAUGCUUUCUGUUCUAGUUACAGUAGCGGUAGCCGUUUAUUCAGUAUAGUUCUCACUUCCUUUCAGUUUAUCGCUAUUGUAUAUCUGCUCAUUACUUUGUUUAUUUCCACUGACCCAUGUUGUUGUAUAGUUCUUCCUGAUCCGGUGAGUACUCCUCGCCUUCUUCGGCUUGCGGUACCCACUGGGAGGGGAGACAUGUUUACAUGUUCUCACCUCCCCCACCAUUUUUCAGGUAUCGCGGGCGUUGAGUAGUGGGACGAGACGUGAGGUACGUGUGUAGCGGACGAUAGAGCUUCCGACCCAGGUUAUUUCGGUAUAGUUAUUACCCUUAGUAUUUCAGUUGUUAUAGCUUAGACAGUUAUAUGGUUCAGUAUUUUUAUUACAUUUGAAAAUAUGGGUGACCCCCUGGGAAGUUGGGGCGUCACAGAUGGUAUCAGAGCCAAUUACCAGCCGGAAGUGUGAGAUGAGUCUCGGCUGAGCCAGGGUCUGGAUGACGGGCUAGCGAGACGAGUCUCACAUCGCCUGGUACUUGUGAGUCUGAGCCUGACGAGAACGUCAGGGCUUAAAGGAUGGGAGAUUGUGAGACCCCAGAUAGUCCUAUAUAUGAGAUAUAAUAGGGCUAAACUCUUAACCCGGCUUAAGCAUUUUGGGUGGUGGCUAGACCCAAGAGGUUAAGAGAGUUAAGCGUGCUAGGACGGGAGUAGUCCUAGGAUGGGUGACCCUCUGGGAAGUUGGGGGGUCACAUCCAUAUUUAUCGUUUUAAUAUAUUUUAUUCUCUUAUUCUUAAUACUGAAUAUAUAUCAUCUUUUCAGCCUUGUGUAUGUGUAACUCUAGCAACUGUUCUAAGUGUUGAGACUGAGCGUGGCUGGUACUACAAUUCUUGCAAAAAGUGUAGCAAAAAGGUGAUUCCUGAUGGAACUAGAUUCUAUUGUGAAUUUUGUGAGAGAAUGGUAACUUGUGUUGGACUAAGGUGAGAAUUUUUACUUCUACACUCGACGUGUAUGAUUUAAUGUGAUGUUUUUCUAACUACAACCUACAAUAUGCAUGUAAUUUCAAAGUCCAACUGAGGGUGAUAGACGAGUCUGGGAGUGCUUCGUUGAUUUUAUUUGAUCGUGAGGUUGUCCAGUUUCUGCAAAAUACUGCCGCGCAAUUACACCAACAAGUUUUAUUGGUAAGUGCGUAUUAUUUAUCAUAAAUAUAUGUAGUAUGUUUCUUAUUUUUGUAUAUACUAAUAGUAAAUAUUUUUAUUCAGACAGGUG